GAAGCUGGAUUCGCUAGUAAUCGCGCAUCAGCCAUGGCGCGGUGAAUACGUUCCCGGGCCUUGUACACACCGCCCGUCAAGCCAUGGGAGCCGGGGGGUGCUUGAAGUGCGUCGCCGCAAGGCGCGCCCUAGAGCAAAACCGGUGACUGGGGCUAAGUCGUAACAAGGUAUC
rnacentral:rRNA from 1 species